rnacentral:rRNA from 1 species
CAGUAGCCACGGUAAUACGAAGGGGGCUAGCGUUGUUCGGAAUUACUGGGCGUAAAGGGCGCGUAGGCGGCCAUUCAAGUUAGAUGUGAAAGCCCUGGGCUCAACCUAGGAAUUGCAUUUGAUACUGUUUGGCUUGAGUUCGGGAGAGGUGAGUGGAAUUCCCAGUGUAGAGGUGAAAUUCGUAGAUAUUGGGAAGAACACCAAUUGCGAAGGCAGCUUACUAUGGCUUGAUUGACACUGAGGCACGAAAGCGUGGGGAUCAAACAGGAUUAGAUACCCCAGUAGUCCCUGUCUCUUAUAA